rnacentral:rRNA from 1 species
AUUGAACGCUGGCGGCAGGCCUAACACAUGCAAGUCGAACGAGUGGCGGACGUGAGAGUAAUGUCUGGGAAACUGCCUGAUGGAGGGGGAUAAAUCCUGGAACCGGUAGCUAAUACCGCAUACCAUCGGAUGUGCCCAGAUGGGAUUAGCUAGGAGGUGGGGUAAAGGCUCACCUAGGCGACGAUCCCUAGCUGUUCUGAGAGGAUGACCAGCCACACUGGAACUGAGACACGGUCCAGACUCCUACGGGAGGCAGCAGUGGGGAAUAUUGCACAAUGGGCGCAAGCCUGAGGCAGCCAUGCCGCGUGUAUGAAGAAGGCCUACGGGUUGUAAAGUACUUUCAGCGGGGAGGCGUUACCCGAAGAAGAAGCACCGGCUAACUCCGUACCAGCAGCCGCGGUAAUUC